rnacentral:rRNA from 1 species
UACGGAGGGUGCAAGCGUUGUCCGGAUUUAUUGGGUUUAAAGGGUGCGUAGGCGGAUUUAUAAGUCAGUGGUGAAAGCCUGCGGCUCAACCGUAGAAUUGCCAUUGAAACUGUAGAUCUUGAGUGCAACUGAGGUUGUUGGAAUGCGUAGUGUAGCGGUGAAAUGCAUAGAUAUUACGCAGAACACCAAUUGCGAAGGCAGAUAACUAAGUUGUAACUGACGCUGAGGCACGAAAGCGUGGGGAGCGAACAGG